rnacentral:lncRNA from 1 species
AGAUUUAAGGUGGCACCAAAAUAAAUUAGAAUAUCUUGUCCAUUGGCAUGGAUAUGAUAUUAGUGAAUGUAUAGGUGAGCCAAUAAAGAAUCUUACAAAUGCAAUAAAGGUGGUGGAGGCUUUUUAUCAAUGACAUCCAUCAAAAUCAAGAUGAAAAUCUUCUUUAUAAAAGAAACAAGAUCUAAGCAAGAUAGCAUUCUACUUUCAAUCCUUGUUUGUAGCUUCUUUGUAGUUGUGACAUUGAGGA